rnacentral:lncRNA from 1 species
AGAUUCCAUGCCCGGGCAAGAAGAGCUGAAAAACCUUAUGCCACAUAUAUGUAUCAUGGAACCAGCCCAAACCUGCUUGUGCUUCUGACCUCUGAAACACUCCCAGCGUGCUUGAGAUUUAAAGGGCGAGCUUUCCAAAAGUAAAAGGACAGUGCUCUUGUUUCUCUUAUGAACAGUUCCUUCCUCUGUUGCUACUUGUGAUGAUGCAAAUUAUACAGAAUGGGUCCUUAGAAUGACAUUUUCUGAAUACCCUCUGGAUGAGGGGGAGGGAACAGCACGCAGGAACAAACACCAGGCCAAUCCGCUACUCAGUCCGGAUCCCCUGGGCUACUGGCCACCAGGACCACGACGGUGUCAAAAACCCAAGCACGCAACAGCCAGAAUGGCUUGACCUAGCUUCUUCGGACAGUAGCCCACAGACAGUUACUGGCAGACAACUUUGUGUUCCCCCAAACUUCCCGCUGGCGGACUCUGUGCGGCCAGAACUUCUUGCAGGGUAGCACCUGGAUGGGCAAGGCUUAAAAAACGAACAAAACGAGCCGCGCAUCCGUUGUUUCGAAGCGACCGGUGUACUCGUCUAAAAUAAAAAAGAUUUCUGUCUGCA